GUGUUUAAUGAAACUGAAGAAUUAGGUUAGCAUUCCCUUUAACAAGAAUGGGAAAGAUUCUGGUGAUGGAUGCCAUAUCCAUACAUUUAAGGCAUCACACCUCUUUAUAGCCAGCUUGUGACCAACUUAGAUGGUAU
rnacentral:ncRNA from 1 species